GAUGAACGCUGGCGGCGUGCCUAAUACAUGCAAGUCGAGCGAACAGCUGAGGAGCUUGUUCCUCUGACGUUAGCGGCGGACGGGUGAGUAACACGUGGAUAACUUACCUAUAAGACUGGGAUCAUUUCGGGAAACCGGAGCUAAUACAGGAUAAUCUAUUGCCCCGUAUGGUUACAUAGUGAAAGACGGUUUUGCUGUCACUUAUAGAUGGAUCCGAGCCGCAUUAGCUAGUUGGUAAGGUAACGGCUUAAGCAGGCAACCAUGCGUAGCCGACCUGAGAGCGAGGACGACCAGACGGGAACAGAGAGUCGGUCCAGACUCCGACAGUGAGCAGCAGUAGGAAAUCUUCCGCGAUGGGGGAGUGCCGGACAUAGCAACGCGGCGGAAAUGAUGAAGGAGUGCGGAUCGGAGAGCUCUGUUAUAAGGGAGUAACAAAUGUGUUAUUAGCAAGGCACAUCAUGACGGUACCUGAUCAGAAAGCCACGGCUAACUACGUG
rnacentral:rRNA from 1 species